rnacentral:sRNA from 2 species
GGGAGCGGAAACCACCUCCCCAACGAGGCCGUAUUCGGCGCGAGCGCCCAUCCACCCCAGCGCCUGAUAUGGCUGUGACCCGCCCGGUUGUCCCCCCGGGCGGGUC